UUCCCCAGCAGUUUUGUCUAGCUGUGAGGUUCAUCCAAUGCUUUUAACAAGUACGACAGGCUGACAGUCCUGUGUCAGAUUUGAAUCCAAGCAGAACCCGGGGAAGAUGUUCCAGCAAUGAGUGUAAGUCCGGGGAGAUGGCAUCUGCUGUGGAUCUGUGGUGAACAUAGGCUGCAGUGGAUCAAGGCUGCCUGGGAGGCCAGAGUUAAUGAGUGCCGUUGGAAGCAUUUAAUGACGGUGGAUGUCAGCGACUGGACGGUAUUCAUUAAGGCACACAACCUUGCUAUUCUAUUACACAUUAGCCAAACUGAAUAACGUCCAACACACUCUGAGGAGUGCAUUCUCACAGCGUCAGGUCACAAUGCAGCUGCACUUGUAAUCGAGUCCAACUUGACACAUUUGCUGUGUUUAGCUAACUGGCUGAUGUACUGGCGGCCCGUGGUCACGGUGGGGUAGUUGGUGCAACGUGAAUCCUUGCCUACAUCUCCUGGCGUGAAAACGGAACAGUUUCUGGUGACCCAUCUCCGACGUGGCUGAAGCAAAUUUAAUUUAUUUUAUUAAGGCAGCAACAGCAGAUCGGUUGAAUUAAAAUCUGGUCUCUUGAGUCAUAAAUUAAAAAACGGUUUUCACGUAGAAAACAAGAAGUUGGAAUAAAUGGGUACUUUUCAGGCUG